rnacentral:snoRNA from 1 species
UGCUGCUGUGAUGACUCUUGAUAUUUGCUACUCUUGACGAGAUGAAUGACGAUAAAAGUUUACCAACAUUUGUUAAGCUGAGGCA